GACGAACGCUGGCGGCGUGCUUAACACAUGCAAGUCGAACGGAAAGGCCCUGCUUGCAGGGUACUCGAGUGGCGAACGGGUGAGUAACACGUGGGUGAUCUGCCCUGCACUUCGGGAUAAGCCUGGGAAACUGGGUCUAAUACCGGAUAGGAGCCAUUUUGAGUGUGAUGGUUGGAAAGUUUUUUCGGUGUAGGAUGAGCUCGCGGCCUAUCAGCUUAUUGGUGGGGUAAUGGCCUACCAAGGCGGCGACGGGUAGCCGGCCUGAGAGGGUGGACGGCCACAUUGGGACUGAGAUACGGCCCAGACUCCUACGGGAGGCCGCAGUGGGGAAUAUUGCACCAUGGGCGCCAGCCUGAUGCAGCGACGCCGCGUGGGGGAUGACGGCCUUCGGGUUGUAAACUCCUUUCGCUAGGGACGAAGCUUUUUGUGACGGUACCUAGAUAAGAAGCACCGGCUAACUACGUG
rnacentral:rRNA from 1 species